UAGGGAAUCUUCCGCAAUGGGCGAAAGCCUGACGGAGCAACGCCGCGUGAGUGAUGAAGGUCUUCGGAUCGUAAAACUCUGUUAUUAGGGAAGAACAAAUGUGUAAGUAACUAUGCACGUCUUGACGGUACCUAAUCAGAAAGCCACGGCUAACUACGUGCCAGCAGCCGCGGUAAUACGUAGGUGGCAAGCGUUAUCCGGAAUUAUUGGGCGUAAAGCGCGCGUAGGCGGUUUUUUAAGUCUGAUGUGAAAGCCCACGGCUCAACCGUGGAGGGUCAUUGGAAACUGGAAAACUUGAGUGCAGAAGAGGCAAGUGGAAUUCCAGGUGUAGCGGUGAAAUGCGCAGAGAUAUGGAGGAACACCAGUGGCGAAGGCGACUUUCUGGUCUGUACCUGACGCUGAUGUGCGAAAGCGUGGGGAUCAAACAGG
rnacentral:rRNA from 1 species